rnacentral:rRNA from 1 species
GCUCUGAUAGAUGAGUUGUUGC